rnacentral:rRNA from 1 species
AUUGAACGCUGGCGGCAUGCCUUACACAUGCAAGUCGAACGGUAACAGGUCUUCGGAUGCUGACGAGUGGCGAACGGGUGAGUAAUACAUCGGAACGUGCCCGAUCGUGGGGGAUAACGAAGCGAAAGCUUUGCUAAUACCGCAUACGAUCUACGGAUGAAAGCAGGGGACCGCAAGGCCUUGCGCGAACGGAGCGGCCGAUGGCAGAUUAGGUAGUUGGUGGGAUAAAAGCUUACCAAGCCGACGAUCUGUAGCUGGUCUGAGAGGACGACCAGCCACACUGGGACUGAGACACGGCCCAGACUCCUACGGGAGGCAGCGGUGGGGAAUUUUGUACAAUGGUCGAAAGCCUGAUUAUUCCAUGAUGGGUGAAGCAUUAAGGCUUUCGCGUUGCUAACUGCUUUUGUACUUUCUGCAUGAAGCUGGAUAUCACCUGCGGGCA